rnacentral:tRNA from 1 species
GCUGGGAUAGCUCAGUGGUAGAGCAAUCGCUUUGUAAGCGAUAGGCCGUGGGUUCAAAUCCCUCUCCCAGCU